GUGGGCAUAGCUCAGUUGGUUAGAGCGUCAGACUGUGGCUCUGAAGGUCACGGGUUCGACUCCCGUUGUCCACC
rnacentral:tRNA from 1 species